UACGGGGGGGGCAAGCGUUGUUCGGAAUUACUGGGCGUAAAGGGCUCGUAGGCGGCCAACUAAGUCGGAUGUGAAAUCCCCAGGCUUAACCUGGGAACUGCAUCCGAUACUGGAUGGCUUGAAUCCGGGAGAGGGAUGCAGAAUUCCAGGUGUAGCGGUGAAAUGCGUAGAUAUUCGCAAGAACACCAGUGGCGAAGGCGGCUCACUGGCCCGGUACUGACGCUGAGGUGCGAAAGCGUGGGGAGCAAACAGG
rnacentral:rRNA from 1 species